rnacentral:rRNA from 1 species
UAGGGAAUCUUCGGCAAUGGACGAAAGUCUGACCGAGCAACGCCGCGUGCGUGAAGAAGGUCUUCGGACCGUAAAACUCUGUUGUUAGAGAAGAACAAGGACGUUAGUAACUGAACGUCCCCUGACGGUAUCUAACCAGAAAGCCACGGCUAACUACGUGCCAGCAGCCGCGGUAAUACGUAGGUGGCAAGCGUUGUCCGGAUUUAUUGGGCGUAAAGCGAGCGCAGGCGGUUUCUUAAGUCUGAUGUGAAAGCCCCCGGCGCAACCGGGGAGGGUCAUUGGAAACUGGGAGACUUGAGUGCAGAAGAGGAGAGUGGAAUUCCAUGUGUAGCGGUGAAAUGCGUAGAUAUAUGGAGAAACACCAGUGGCGAAGGCGGCUCUCUGGUCUGUAACUGACGCUGAGGCUCGAAGGCGUGGGGGGCAAACAGG